GGAGGUAGUGACAAUAAAUCACAAUGCGGGACUUGUAGUCUUGCAAUUGGAUUGAGAACAACGUAAAACUCUUAUCGAUAAGCCAUUGGAGGGCAAGUCUGGUGCCAGCAGCCGCGGUAAUUCCAGCUCCAAUAGCGUAUAUUAACGUUGUUGCAGUUAAAAAGCUCGUAGUUGAAGUGAGGGAGUGUGUGAGUAUGAGAGCUAGUCUCAAGUGCUCACAACCUCCCCCUUCCAAUGGGUGUAUUGGGGUAUUCAUUUACUUCAUUACUCCUUUGGUCGUUUACUGUGAGAAAAUUAGAGUGUUCAAAGCGGGCGUUUGUUUGAAUAGAUUAGCAUGGAAUAAUGAUUGAAGGCUUUCGUGUUCGAUUUGAUUGGUUUGUUCAUGGAAGCAAGGUUAAAAGGAACAGUUGGGGGUAUUCAUAUUCACUAGUUAGAGGUGAAAUUCUCGGAUUUAUGGAAGAUGAACAAGUGCGAAAGCA
rnacentral:rRNA from 1 species